UCUGUUGUUUUGAACUGAUUGGGGUUUUGAUGUUUUUAAGGGUUCUGUUUGUGUUGGGGUUGGCACAAAAGCUUCGCUGCAGGAAUAGGAAGAUAUUGGUACAAAGCCUUUGCAUAAUCGGUCGUUUAAGGGGUUUUGUUUGUGUUGGGGUCUGACAUCUUACUGAUUGAUUGGAUUGGUUUGAGGUGAGACUUACUCUUGAAGAACCUAAAGCUGAAACCAGAGUCUUUGAAAAUCCAAUUUUGAAGG